GCUUCAAGAAAUCUAAUAAGAAGAAAAACAAAAUACCAAGAGCAAAAAAAGAUGAAGCCAUUCGGCCAUGGUGCCAAAUUUUAGCCCCUCAAAAUCUUGAUCCAAAAAUUAUUGUCUUGUGAUAUUUCCACUAAUUCAAGGACCCUUUACAACUUGGUGUAGCUAAUUUGGAAGAUAGGGAGCUUGUUUCUUCAAAUUAACAAGUGGGUUUAGUGAAGAAGCUUGGAAGAAAAAGAUUUUGGAGAAAAUUGAGAUUGAGUUUGGAGAGGCGUAAGACGUUAAAAAGGUAUGUAAAGCCGUCCCUUUCCUUCUCUUGGCAUGUCCUAGGUGUACUAGGGUUGGAAUUGAGCCUCAGAAAGUAUUCUAUUCAUAGAAACUCGAGAUUGAAAAUGUCCUCUUUCCAUUCAAUAAAAUUGAAUCCUAAUUGUAUGUUUUGUUGAAAGAAUUGUGUAAACUUUUACAAAUUGCCUAGAAAGUUAGGGGAUGUCCCUAGGACCUCCAUGGAUGACUCUAUGGACCUAAUAUACGUAAUUUGCGCCCAUCGCUUCCUUUGACCCGAGGUGGGCCCACUAUUCCCGACUUGUCUCUUAUUGUACUAAUGUCUUAUUUUCAAGCCAUGUAAAAUGAAACGUUUUAUCUAUCCUUCUAGCUACUAAAGGACAAUUGUUUUAAUAGUUCCCGUGAGUCUUGUAAACUAUUUUGGAAUAUGGAAGCGACCUCAGAAAGAUUAUUUCUCCGUACUUAUUAUGACAUCCGAAAUACACUUACUAUGAUUCUGUCCGAUUUCAUUAUUUCGAUUUGUCAUUCGUCAUGUCUUAUUGAGUCUCUGGAAAUAUAUGGUAUUUUAUAUUGCAUUUAGUUUCUCACUACUCCACUCGUGGAUGCCUCAAUGUUUCCUUCACUGAACCCGAGCCAGGAUAUGUUGUCAAGCGUAUUCCACUGCAUUGUUCGCCGUGCCUCGAUGUGAGGGGGCAGGUUUACUUGUACAUGGGUUGUGGAGUAUGCUGUGCCAUGUACACACUUUCUGAUAUGACAUGAUAUGAUUUGAUAUGACCAUCUGAUAUGAUAUGUGAUGUUACGGGGUUACUCCCUAUUCUGGAGCAUGAUGUGUUGUAGCGCCAGUGUCGGGGUGGCGACCACGUUUCGUUCACCGUGUCCCUUGACGGGGGCCGGAUAUGAUAUGGCAUAUGUUUCUGCAAACGUUCUUUAUGGUUUGGAAAUAUGCAUUUGAUAGUCUGGAUACUACACUCAUUUUCUGCAAGUUCUGUUUCGACUAUGAUUUUGUUUCUGUACUUCAGGCUUUACAUAUUCAGUACAUAUUCCGUACUGGCCCCCUUUCUUCGGGGGCUGCGUUUUCAUGCCGCGCAGGUACAGACGACAGAUUUGCUGAUUCGCCUGCUUAGGACUAUAUUCUGCUAUUUGGGAGUGCUCUAUUGUUCGGAGCCUACGUUUUGAUACUCAACAAAAGCUUUGGCUCAGAUUGUAGAUAUGAAGUUCCACUUUCUCUAGUGUAAUAUGUAAGGUUGUAUAUGUUGAGAAAGUAGGAAUAUUAUCAUGUUGGUAGCUCUAGCUUAGUAUGUUGGUCAAGUUCUAUUUCUAUGGAUACCUUCAAACAGGUAUUAGUUCAAAAUUAUCUGUCCACUAUUAAUUUAGUGAAAAUCUGCUAUCUGUUUAGGUUGCUCUUGGUCAUCAAAGCAUUCAUUCGUGUGGAUUAUUUUUAAGAAUGACUUGUUGCAGGCUACAAAUGAAAUCUGUGGUGGUGAUGAUCGAUCAUUAAAAACUAGGGAGGAUGAUUUUGCUGGUUACGAAAGUAUUUUGAGGCCUCAACAUUCUAGAUUUACAUCUUAGUGUUCAUACUAGGCGAAGAUGUCCGCUCUUUCCAGCCUAGGUUUUUCUGUAGUAUUUGAAGCAUCGCCAGUUUAUUGCACAACUUUUGAUCUGUUGGUGAUCAUUUUUUGAUAUGCCGAUGAUACCUGAAAAUGGAGAUAUGAAGUUAUGUCUACAAAAAUCGAUAGAUUCUAGCAUCAAGCUCUUUUCUUUAUUAAUUUUCAUUCUCAUUGAUAGCAAGUAACUUUUAGUCUUUAUGCACAAUCACAUGUUUGCAGAAUUUGACUAUGGACCAUUAUCUAUUUGCCUUUCUCACCAUCAAUUCAUGUAAAGCGAAUCUCUAUUAAUUGCUUUUGUGAAAUAUUUCAGUAGGUCGGUUUAUUCUUCAAGAGUUUCAUCCCCUAUUGGUCUUGAAAGAUGAAUUAUUUAGCAUUGGAAUGAAAUAGGCAUGAAUAGAGUGUAGUGGUUACUGAAAAUUUCAACAAUUUACUCCAAGUAGUUUGCAGUUCAGGUGAAAAUUAUUUGAACUACAUUAAACUUCUUUGUGGUGUUGUCUUUAGUUAAUUGUUAUGUCUUUUAAGGAAUUUUUCCAUGAUCGUAGGCCUGUAUUAUGUAGUAAAGUCACUGACUUUCUGCACAAUUGGUAAUAGACCUGUGCUAUUUAUCAAGUGGUUCGUUCACUUUCUUUUUCUUUUUCUGAAUUAAAUUGCAUGAAAGUAUGAUUUCUCUCUGUACGUAGUCUAAAGAAGUUCUCUAUUGCUAUAGAGAGUAAAAUUCAACAACUUUUCAAAUUACCAUUUCUAUCAAGAUAGUUGCUUAAUUUGUUUGUGACUAUGUCAUAACAUGAAGA